GGUGUCACAACUUCACAGACGGUCUAGGAAUACUACAAACAAGGUCCGAAAAAUAAAUACAACCCUGUUUCUGAAUUACAUAAAUGAAACAGGAUGAAAGGAUGGAGGAAGACGCCAGGGCUUGCGGACGCCUGCAGGACUACCUUGGAUCUCCGAAUGGACUAAAGGCAGCCACCCAAAGCUACGGUCUGAAAGCUGCUGCACCUGGAUCUGCACACAAUGCAGAGUGUAGUAUCAGCACUACCGACCACAUGUGUUGGUAAGUGUCGAGCCUAACCUAGGCGAAGUAGUGACGAGGCUAGGACAAGACUACCAACUAAACCUGUGCAGUUAAAGCAUAUACAUAGCAAGUAAUAAUAAAGGAAACUAGCGGUUAAAGAUGGGAAGGGGACAUGUUGUGGGGGAAUAUCGUUUACCAACAGUAACUCAGGAGAAAAGCAUAAAGAACAUUUAAAAAUUCGCAACAAAAAGAAUAAGGAAACAAUAACAAAUUAAUAUCCACCUUUAUUCUUUAUUGUUGCGGCGCGCAACCCGAUCCAAAUCAUAAAACACUGUUAUGGCGUGCAACCCGAUCCAUACCACAUAUCACUAUUGCGGCGUGCAACCCAAUCCGAAUAUAAUAUUAUUGCGGCGUGCAAUCCGAUCCAAAUAUAAUAUUGUUGUGGUGUGCAACCCGAUCCAAAUAUAAUAUUAUUGUGGCAUGCAACCCGAUCCAAAUAUAAUAUUGUUGCGGCGUGCAAUCCGAUCCAAAUAAAAUAUUGUUGCGGCGUGCAACCCGAUCCCAAUAUACAAUUCAACACCAAUCACAAAGGAGCCAUGAUAAGGGAAUAAUAAGGGAACGACAAUAUACCGGCAAGGGAAUCAAUAACAUCAUAGUAAAAUCAAGCAACAAUAGAAAAUCAGUAAAUAAACGUAAAGGACAACAUAACUCAAUUAUCAGCAAGAUUCAGGAAAAUCAAGGACAAGUGUACGGAAUCACCCUUCGUGCUUUAACCCUCUCUUACCAAAACAAUAAUCACAAGAAAUAAGGGCAAGGAGAUAAAUGAAAUCACAAAAAAUAUCCCGGCAAGGGAACAAUAGUACAACAAUCGAAUCCCGGUGAGGGAACAAUAUCAGAAACAUCAACAUCCCGGUAGGGGAGAUAGCAUUUAAAAGCAAUAAUGUCCCGGCAAGGGAGACAAUAUAAUAAUCCUAUUCUCUUUUCCUUUUCACAUUUACUUCACAACUCACUUCACAACUUGAGCCAAUGCUUUAUGAGGUUCAAUUGUCAAUUAUACUUCCACAAUUAAUUUUACAACUUGAGCCAACACUCUUCAACAUUCAAAUACCCAUAUUACUUUCACAAGCCUUGUUUAACAAUAGAAAUCAUCACAAAAGGGCAUAAACAAUACAAACGAAGUCACAUUAAUCAUAGUAUAUGACUUACGAGCAUGCUUGACACCAACGUAUAGAUACUCAUCAACAUGCCUAUAUGUCGUACUCAACUAAUAACGCAUAGCAAAUAGGACACAACUCUUAAUCCCUCAAGCUAAGGUUAGACCAAACACUUACCUCGAACUUCUACGGCCAACUCAAGCCUCAAACACCGCUUUUCCUUUAGAAUUUGCCUCCAAACAACUCGUAUCUAGUCCAAAUUGAUUUUACGACAUCAAUAAAUGCUAAAGAAUUCAUACCCAAUGCUUAAUUAUAGGUUUUCUAUCAUUUUUUUCCAAAAAGUCAAAAAUCGGCCCCGGGCCUGCUUGGUCAAAACUCGAGGUUCGGACCAAAACUCAAUCACCCAUUUACCCACGAGUCCAAAUAUGCAAUAAGUUUCAAAAUUUGACCCCAAAACGAGGUCUAAAUCCCAAUUAAUCAAAAGCCCUAAUUAUACCCAAAUCCCCAAUUUUCUAUCAUUAAAACCCUAGGAUUUUAGAUAAAAGUUGAUGAAAAACAUUAGAGAGUUGAAAGAAAUCAGUUAAUGAAUACUUACUUAUGAAUUGGGAAGAAAAUCUCUUGAGAAAAUCGCCCUAGGCCUCCUAUUUUUAUGAAAUUUUGAAAGAGAAAACGCUGAAGUUUUGUUUUAAAAGACUCCACUGCCAGAUUCUCGCACCUGUGGUGCUUGGGUCGCACCUACGCAGUCGCACAUGCGGAAAAUACACCGCUCCUGCGAAAAUGAUUAGGCCCGCUGGGGCCACAUUUGCGAGGGGAGACUCGCUCCUGCGGAAGCUUGUCCGCAUCUGCGAGAGGCUAGACCGCACCUGCAACCCACUAUUUGCACCUGCGAGCUCGUACCUGCAGUGCUUGACUCGCAAGUGCGGUUACACCAGAGCUGAUGCAACAACAGUGUUUUCCUAAGCUUAAACACCUUGGAACCUACCUGAAACUCACUUGAGCCCUCGGGACUAUAAACCAAACAUGCAUACUAAUUCAAAAACAUCAUAUGAACUUAUCUGUGCGAUCAAAUCGCCAAAAUAAAAUCUUAAAAAAUGAAUUUAGCAUAAAAAUCUAAGAAAAAUCUCAAAAUUUUUAAAGUAACAAUUUUCACAACUACGGGUGCGAAUCACAUCAAACGACUUCCGUUUCUUACCAAAUUUUAAAGGCUCAACUUAAACCACAUAUAAGACCUAUACUGGGCUCCAGAACCAAAAUACGGGCCUGGUACCAUCAACUUCCAAAACAUUUUUCAUUUCUAAAAACUCAUAUAUAUUUCAGAAAGCAAUUUUCUUUAAAAUUUUAUUUCUCGGGCUUGGGACCGUGGAAUUAAAUUUUGGGAAUACACCCAAGUCCCAUAUUUUCCUACGGACCCUAGAGGACCAUCAAAUCACGGGUCCGGAUCCGUUUAUCCAAAAUAUUAACCGAAAUCAACUUAAAUUUAUUUUAAAGGCAAAAUUCAUUAUUUUUCACAGAUUUUUACAUAAUGGCUUUCCAGCUACGCGUACGGACUGCGUACGCAAAUUGAGGUGAAACUGAAAGAGGUUUUUAAGGCCUCAAAAUAUAGAAUUUUAUUUCUAAAAUAAGUGAUGACCCAAAAGGGUCAUCACAUUCUCCACUUCUAAAACAAAUGUUCAUCCUCGAACUGACAUAAGAAGGAAGUAUCUGAGUCGGGGAAAAGAUGGGGAUAACGGCUCCGCAUAUCGGACUCGAACUCCCAGGUCGAUGCCUCAGCAGGUUGACCUCUCCACUAAACACGAACAGAAGUUAAACUCUUCGAUCUCAACUGACAAACAUGCCGGUCUAGAAUAGCUACCGGCUCCUCCUCAUAGGACAAGUCCUUGUCUAACUAGACAGUGCUGAAAUCUAACACGUGGGAUGGAUCGCCGUGAUACUUCCGAAGCAUGGACACAUGAAACACUAGAUGCACGGUUGAUAAGCUCGGUGGCAAUGCAAGUCUGUAAGCCACCUCUCCCACUCGAUCAAGAAUCUCAAACAGGAUAAUGAACCUAGGGCUAAGCUUGCCCUUCUUUCCAAAUCUCAUCACGCCCUUCAUAGGCGACACCCGAAACAAUGCCCGCUCACCGACCAUGAAAGCCAAAUCAUGAACCUUACGGUCGACAUAACUCUUUUUGCCUGGACUGAGCUAUACGAAGCCUAUCCUAAAUAAUCCUGACCUUAUCCAAGGCAUCCUGCACUAGAUCAGUACCCAACAACCGAGCCUCUCCCGGCUCAAACCAUCCAACUGGCGACCGAUAUCGCCUACCAUACAAAGCCUCAUACGGAGCCAUCUAGAUGCUCGACUGGUAGCUGUUGUUGUAGGCAAACUCUGCUAAAGGCAAAAAUGGAUCCCACGAGCCUCCAAAGUCAAUGACACAAGCUCGGAGCAUAUCCUCCAAAAUCUGAAUGGUCCGCUCGGACUGCCCGUUCGUCUGAGGAUGAAACGCUAUGCUCAAAUCAACCCGUGUACCCAACUCUCGCUGAACUGCUCUCCAGAAAUGUGAGGUAAACUGCGUACCUCGAUUAGAAAUGAUAGACAUGGGCACACCAUGAAGACGAACAAUNNNNNNNNNNNNNNNNNNNNNNNNNUGUGGGAGUCCAACAACGAAGUCCAUAGUGAUACGCUCCCACUUCCACUUAGGAAUCUCAAUCUUCUGGAAUAAACCACCAAGCCUCUGAUGCUCGUACUUAACCUGUUGACAAUUCAAACACCGAGCCACAUAUGCAAUGAUAUCCUUAUUCAUUCUUCUCCACCAAUAAUGCUGCCGUAGAUCCUGAUACAUCUUCGCUGAGCCCGGAUGAAUAGAGUACCGGGAACUGUGGGCCUCCUCUAAAAUCAACUCUCGAAGCCCAUCCAUGUUUGGCACACAAACUCAACCCUGUAGCCUCAAAAAAUCCAUCAUCUCCUAAGGUAACCUGCUUGGUACUUCCGUGAUGCACCAUGUCUCUAAGGACACACAAAUGAGGAUCAUCAUACUACCGACCUUGGAUACGCUCCAAUAAAGAAGAACGAGCGAUUGUGCAAGCUAACACCCGAUUGGGCUCAGAAAUAUCCAACCUCACGAACUGAUUGGCCAAAGCCUGAACAUCCAAAGCAAGUGGUCUCUCACCAACCGAAAUAUAAUCAAGAUUGCCCAUACUGGUUGUCUUCCUACUCAAAGCAUCGACCACCAUAUUGGACUUUCCCGGAUGAUAUAAGAUGGUGAUAUCAUAGUCUUUCAACAGUUCCAACCACCUUCUCUGCCUCAAAUUUAGCUCCUUCUACUUGAACAAAUACUGCAGACUCUUGUGAUCCGUGAAUACCUCACAUGCCACACCAUACAGAUAAUGCCUCCAAAUCUUCAACGCGUGAACAAUGGUUGCCAACUCCAAGUCAUGAACCAGAUAGUUCUUCUUAUGAAUCUUCAACUACCGCGAAGCAUAGGCUGACCUUGCCAUCCUGCAUCAAUACCACACCAAGUCCAAUACGAGAUGCAUCACAAUAAAAAGUAUAUGGCCUUGAAUCUGUGGGCAAAACCAACACCGGUGUCAUAGUCAAAGCUGUUUUGAGCAUCUAAAAGCUCGUCUCACACUCGUCCGACCACCUGAACUGGGCACCCUUCUGGGUCAACCUGGUCAUCGGGGCUACAAUAAAUGAAAACCCCUCCACAAAUCGAUGAUAGUAGCCUGCCAAACCCAAGAAACUCCAGAUCUCUGUAGCUGAUGCGGGUCUAGGGCAGUUCUCGACUGCCUCUAUCUUCUUCGGAUCAACCUGAAUACCCCUUUUUGAUAUAACAUGACCCAGGAAUGCAACUGAACUCAACCAGAACUCACACUUCAGAAACUUAGCGUACAACUGACUAUCUCUCAAAGUCUGAAGAACCACUCUAAGAUGUUGCUCAUGCUCCUCCCGGCUGCGGGAAUAGAUCAAAAUAUCAUCAAUGAAGACUAUCAUGAACGAAUCCAAGUAAGGCCUAAACACUCAGCUCAUCAAAUCUAUAAAAGCUACUAGGGCAUUUGUCAACCCGAAUGACAUCACCAAGAACUCAUAAUGCACGUACUGAGUGUGAAAAGUUGUAUUAGGGACUUCGGAUGCCCUAAUCCUCAACUGAUGGUAGUCAGAUCCCAAGUCAAUCUUUGAAAAUACCUUGGCACCUUGAUGCUGAUAAAAAAAAUCAUCAAUCCUCGGCAAUGGAUACUUAUUCUUGAUUGUAACCUUGUUCAACUACCGAUAAUCUACACACAUUCGUAUCAAUCCAUCCUUCUUCUUAACAAACAACACCGGCGCACCCCAAGAUGAGACACUAGGUCUAUUGAAUCCUUUCUCAAGCAAGUCUUGUAACUGCUUCUUCAAUUCUUUCAACUCAGGCAGGGCCAUACGAUACAGCGGAAUAGAAAUGGGCUGAGUGCCCGGAGCCAAAUCAAUGCAGAAGUUAAUAUCCCUGUGAGGUGGCAUACCUGGUAGGUCUGAAGGAAAUACCUCAGAAAACUCACGGACAACAGGCACAAAAUCAAUAAAAGGAACCUUGGUGUUAGAAUCACAAAAAUAUGCCAAAUAGGCCAAACACCCCUUCUCGACCAUACGUCAAGCCUUCAUAUAUGAGAUGACACUACGAGUAGAAUGACCAGGAGUCCCUCUCCACUCUAAACGAGGCAAACCUAGCAAGGUUAAGGUCAUAGUCUUGGCAUGACAGUCCAAGAAAACGUGGUAAGGUGAUAACCGGUCCAUCCCCAAUAUGACAUCGAAAUCAACCAUGUCCAGAAGUAACAAAUCUACAUGAGUCUCAAGACCCCCAAUUACAACUAUACAUGAACGAUGGACACGAUCUACCAUAAUAAAAUCACCAACCGAUAUAGACACAUAUGUAGGAGCACUCAAGGAAUCACCAGGCAUGACGGUGCAAAAUAAGAUGACUCAUAUGAGUAUGUAGAUCCUGGAUCAAAUAGAAUUGAGGCAUCUCUACUACAAACCAGAACAAUACUUGUACCUCCACCUCUAGCACCUCUACCUCCACCUCUAUCUAGCUGAGCAAGCUGAAUGAGUCCCUCAAUGAACCUCCUCACUCUCUCUCUCUCGGUAGGAAGUAUAAGUAGAGCAUGGUGGUUCAAAUCAAUAAAUCUGGUCUCGUAUUGAGUAAUAAUCAUAGAACCAUGUUGGAGACACUCAAACUGCCUCCGAUAGAUUUCUCUCUGAGUGACAGGAAGAAACUUCUCCAGAAAUAGCUGAGGAAACUGAUCCCAAGUCAAAGCUGGUGACCCCACUGGUCUAGCCAAACAAUAAUCUCUCCACCAAGUCUUGGCAGAUCUAGACAAGCGAAAAGUAGCAAAGUUGACCCCAUUGGUCUCCACUAUCCCCAUGUUCCUGAGAACCCCGUGACAACUGUCUAAAUAAUCCUGGGGAUCCUCAUAAGAUGCAUCGCUGAAAGAGGUAGUGAAACGCUUGGUGAAGCUUAUCCAACCUCCACAAAGCCUCCGAAGACAUAACUAAUCUAUUACCGGGCUGCUACUACUCGGCUGAAGACGCGGUACAUGACCUCACCAUUCGCGAAAGGACAAGAGUAGAGGUUCCAAUUAGCAUUGAGAGAACAAAAUCGCACGACAUGAAAAGAUAGAUGUGAAGUUUCCUAACUCUGUGGCCUCUGGGGGAUAAAUACAGACGUCCCUGUACCGAUCCUUCAGACUCUACUAAGCUUGUCUAUGAAUUGUGAGACCUAUGUAACCUAGACCUCUGAUACCAACUUGUCACAACCCGGAUUUUCCACCCUCAGGAGUCGUGAUGACGCCUACUUGUGAAAGCUAGACAAGCCAACCAUUUGAACAAUUUACCUUUUUCCAAUUUUUAAUCCUUUAAUAAUUAUGAACCAACAGUUUAUAAACAGCAGAAUUCAAACAAGCGGAAGAAACGAAUAAAAUCAUUUAAAUAUUUCCAAUACAAUACGUUAAACAAAUACUACCCAAAACUGGUGUCACAACUUCACAAACGGUCUAGGAAUACUACAAACAAGGUCCAAAAAUAAAUACAACCCUGUUUCUGAAUUACAUAAAUGAAACAGGAUGAAAGGAUGGAGGGAGAUGCCAGGGAAUGCGGACGCCUAUAGGGCUAUCUUGGAUCUCCGAAUAGACUAAAGGCAGCCACCCAAAGCUACGGUCUAAAAGUUGUUGUACCGGGACCUGCACACAGUGCAGAGUGUAGUAUCAGCACUAUCGACGACCCCAUGUGCUGGUAAGUAUCGAGCCUAACCUCGGCGAAGUAGUGAUGAGGAUAGGACAAAACUAUCAACUAAACUUGUGCAGUUAAAACAUAUACAUAGCAAGUAAUAAUAAAGGAAACUAGCAGUUAAAGAUGGGAAGGGGACAUGCUGUGGGGGAAUAUCAUUUACCAAUAGUAACUCAGGAGAAAAGCAUAAAGAACAAUUUAAAAUUUGCAACAGAAAGAAUAAGGAAAUAGUAACAAAUCAAUAUCCACCUUUAUCCUUUAUUGUUGCGGUGCGCAACCCGAUCCAAAUCAUAAAACACUGUUAUAGCGUGCAAUCCGAUCCAUAUCACAUAUCAUUGUUGCGGCAUGCAACCCUAUCUGAAUAUAAUAUUGUUGCGGCAUGCAAUCCGACCCAAAUAUAAUAUUUUUACGGCGUGCAACCCGAUCCAAAUAUAAUAUUAUUGCGGCGUACAAUCCGAUCCCAAUAUACAAUUCAACACCAAUCACAAAGGAGCCCUAACAAGGGAAAAAUAAGGGAACGACAAUAUCCCGGCAAGGGAAUCAAUAACAUCAUAGUAAAAUCAAGUAACAACAAAAAAUCAGUAAAUAAACGUAAAGGACAACAUAAUUCAAUUAUCAGCAAGAUUCAGAAAAAUCAAGGACAAGUGCAUGACAUCACCCUUCGUGCUUUAACCCUCUCUUACCAAAACAAUAAUCACAAGAAAUAAGGGCAAAGAAAUAAAUGAAAUCACAAAAAAAUCCCAGCAUGGGAACAAUAUUACAACAAUCGAAUCCCGGCGAGGGAACAAUAUCAGAAACAUCAACAUCCCAGAAAGGGAGAUAGCAUUUAAAAGCAACAACGUCCCAGCAAGGGAGACAAUAUAAUAAUCCUCUUCUCUUUUCCUUUUUACAUUUACUUCAAAACUCACUUCACAACUUGAGCCAGAGGCGGAACCAAGUUUCAAACGCAGUGGGUUCUAAAUUCUAGCAUUCCGACAUCAGGUUUAGUAACAAGGUCUAAUACCAAGAAACAGUGAUGAGAAAGGAAAAGACAAUGAAAAAGGAAAAGCUGAUAUAUUUUACCAUUACUACAAAGGGGAGGUUCAUUUCUUUCCGUUUUCAUCACAGGUAAUGGUUACAGAUCUUCUGUUUCUUCAAAGGUUAAAAGGCUAAUGAUCCGAAUAGUGAUUCAGCUUUCAUUUGUUUGCAAAUCUUGCUUAUUAUAUAAAAUAUAAUGAUAAUUUUAUCUCUAAGUAGUACCCAUGUAAAUGCAAGUUGGUCUCACUAAAAAACUAAAAACAAGAAAUUAGGACCAGUGGAUCACUAAGAGAAAAACAUGAACACAAAAUCAGAAUAGAAAAAGAAGAAGGAAGAAUGGUCUAACUUCUAAGGGAGAAAGAGCACACACAGUGGAGAUUUAGAGGGUAUCUGGCAUAUUGUGGUAACAACGAUUGUGGAUCAACAGAGGCAGAGCAGAACCCUAAUUUUUAUUUUUGAUUUGGGAAUUUAGGUUUGUUGUUUGGAGUUGGAAGGCUUCUGUUCUUUUGUUUAUUAGAAAGAAAAUAUUUUUAUGUUUUAUUUAUUAAAAGAAAAAAUGUUAGUCUCUGUUUAGAGGUCAAAUUAUGGGACAACUCUAGAAUCAAAUAUUAAAAAUUAAAUUUUGCAUAAAAUAUCAAAUAUAAAAUAUAAGAUAAAAACAUGAAGCAAAAAAUCAGAAAAUAAGAAUUGAAGAAGGAAGAACUAAGAAGGGUCUAACUUCUAAAGGAUAAAGAGCAUACACUGAUACACAGUGGAGAGUUGGAGGGCGUCCGCCAGAUUGUGGUACCAGUGGUUGUCAAUCAAUCGGAGGCAGAGGCGCAGAACAACUGAGCAGAACCCUAGUUUUUUUUGUGAUUUGGGAAUUGGAAGAAAACAUUUGUGUUUAAAGUUGGAAAGC
rnacentral:lncRNA from 1 species